CGUUGCUAGACGUUCCAUCAAAAUUUCCACUAUGCCUGGUCUCGUCCGAAGUAAAAUGGUAGCAAUGGAUUUUCCGCGAGUCUGCGCUCUGAGGGUUGAAAACACAUGCAUUAACAUCGACGUAAUUAUUGUGACCUCUUAAGCACACAAGACCAGAGGACACCCUAAACGUUACACCACCUCUUCUCUUCUCUUCCCUUAAUUACACCAUGAAAUAUUAAUCACAUCGACAAAAUGGAAACGUUUAAGGACACGAUGCAAGCACAACGCGACAUUUGUCGACGAUCACGGGUCACGCACAAGCGCCAUGGGACGUAGAUUCGACGAGUUUGCGUGGUAGACAGCUGGAUCGACGCUGGGCGUCGCCAUCGUGGGGUUG